CGUGGGCGUUAAAUUUGAGCCAGAUCUCGGUUGCUUUAUGAGAGAUAAGAUUGAUUAAAAUGAAGGUUGGUACUUUAUGUACUUUGUGCGAAGAUUGUUCGAAUGAUUUUAAGGGAAGGAUAUCGGGAGUAGGAUGUCGAGGUGGGUGUUGCUUGGCCGGAGAAAGGCUCGUGUUGCACUCCCACGAUUGCGGCCUCUUAUCAAACUGCGAUCGCCGCUCCUAGAGGCUGCCUUUUCGAAACUGGAACGAGAUGUAACUUCGACCUGCCGAAGUCACGCUCCUGGAUACGUUUAGGUGUUGUUCUUGGAACGAAUAU